rnacentral:lncRNA from 1 species
AAGAUGCAGCAAGAAAAGAGGCAGCUCAGAAUAGACAGAGAUGAAUAAACAGUUGUAUUUAUUGGUGCAAUAACUAUGUAAUAUUGUUUUUAUAAGAUGGAAUUAACAGGAACAAUUCUAUCAGAAGUCCUGACUCAGAGUUCUGAAACCUCAGGAACUAUUUGUGAAUAAUAUUUUAUACCGACCUGUAUUAACGACUGUGUUGAUAGAAAAGGUCUAUUGUGUAGUGAUGUAGGUCAACAUGUCUGGUUUUGAAACCAGAUAUAUUUUGUAUCUUGAAAAUAAUUAUUGACAAAUAUGAAAGUGCAAAAUAAAAUGCUGUUUUAUAUAUCAUUAUUGGGUUUUUUUAUACAAAGAAUGAAUCUCAUAUGUCAACAUUGAUCAAGAUACUUUUCAUUUUCUUUUGUAAUAUGUAAGUAAUAAGAAAUCAUUCAACAUAUGCGAACAUGAUAAAUUUUAGGAUUGCAUACGGCACAAACAUUCUAUUUUUUUUUUUAAUGCAUUUCAUCAACUUAUAGCCAGUUUAAAAGUCCUUGUAAAAGAUAUUUUUGUGUGUAAUUGAUAAAUGUAUUUUAUAGUGAGGAAAACAUAUUGUUGAUUUUGUAUUAAGCCAAAUUUCUCUAUCAAAACUUCAAAAUUACGAAAAGAGGGAAGAGAAAGAUUUCCUUUGUAUCAUAAAUGUGUUUUAAAGAUCAAUCAUAUUCAAAGAUGUAUCAAAUUUCAUAUCAAACAUAAAGUUUAAGUAAAUUUGGUAUUGUUGAUUUAUUUUUUAUAUUAUAUAGGAAUACAAAGAUAUGAGGUACACAUUUCUAAAACAGCAAGCCAACAGCACAAAAUCUAUAAAAGAUAUUUUGAUGUCAACAUUGGGUCUUCAACAAUAGACAAGUGUCUUUACUAUUAUGUAUUUGUUGAACUCUAAAAAAAAAUCCAACGUAUAGACAUCACAAAAUUUGCAUACAGCACCA